AUGGCUAUCUCUCGCUCGACAGGGAGGUGGAUCGUGCUCGCGCGCUCGUCGUGCUCGCUGGACAGAGUGGUGGAUCGGUCACGGGGGAAUCCAUCCACGGCCGAGGCGCGCGAUGCGCUCGAGCGGGAUCCAGACGAAGGGCGCAAGCCGCGCCCGGCGACGGGGGCGAUUCCUCCAGUUGACGGCGUGAUGAGCAUGCGAUUCGAUCGGGAUCCAAGUGAAGUGCGCGGCGCUGCCGGCCGCGACCACCGCGACUCGCUCGAGCGGGAUUCCGGAUCGAUCCGAUGUGACGCGCGUAAGGAUGCGGCGCGGCAAACCCUAGGCGCCGCCGCCAUGCCCUCGUGCUAUGUAUGUACUACACAGCUGCAGGUCACAGAGUGGUGGAGGCUGACGGCCCGGAGGAGGUAUUUGACAAGAUCAUAUUCGGCGCACAUGCACCUGACGUUUUGAGGGUGCUAGGAGACGAAGCAACACACGGGGAGUUGAGGAUUCUGGGUGCUUUCCAAUAUGCCCAGAGCAACAUGUACCUACAUUGUGACGAAAGCCUUAUGCCAUGGAAUCCGUCGGCAUGGAGCGCCUGCAACUUCCUGGGAACAACCAGCACUAGAGAGUUGCACUGCUUUAAUUCGGCGGCUUGGUUCUCGGGAUUGUCUUACUUACAUGAGCAUUGAUGCUGGUUGGUGUAAUGGGUACAGUACUAACUUAAUUUCAGUGUAUUUUUUCAUCUAACAGUUUCAUUUUUCCAAUGAGGAUUGUCUUGCUUACAUGAGCAUUGAUGCUACUUGGUGUGAUGGGCACAAUGGUUUUAUUUUUUAGUUUUGAGAUUUCAAAGAGGGUCACUCUACGAAUGUAACCCAGUCUUCUGCACACUUGUUGAGCAUCCAUGAGAGUUUUGAAGCUGCUUUCAAGGAAGUCUAUAAUCUAAACAAAGUUUCUGUUACGACAACUAACUCAAUGGCAUGAAAUAUGCCAUAGAGGAUGGCUACUCCAUGAUGAAACAGGAGGAGCUAGGGUUCUGCCGGUUCUAGGGCGGAGAUUGUAGGGGAAAAAUGGAGGAAGACGAGGUCGAGGGCGCGGCGGCCGGCGGCUGGGCGCCGUCCUUGCGUGGUGGAGAAGAGGCGGUGGCGGCGCAAGAGGCGGCUAGGGUUAGGUCUCCCGGCUCCCUAAGGGAAGCCGAGCAAAUACUGAUUGCUUCUUACUUGAUUACAUUGAUACAUCUCCUCUCCUUAUAUAGAGAGGUUUACUUGACUCCUAAGCAAACGACCCUAAUACCGAUAAGAUAAUUGGGCUAAGCCCCUAAUAACUACUCCCUCAGUCC